CUGGAAUAAGGAAUCCACUCAACAUAUCUAUCCUCCAGAUAUUAAGGAAUAAACCCUCAUUCAGAUUCUCUAUAAAUAUGAUAGGGGUGAACAGGAUUGAGGAUAGCAAAAAAUUCAAUCAAAAUGAAAACUCUCAAGUCAUACUGAUAAAUUCAAAACAAGAUCAUACGACCUCAAAAGCCUUCAGACUCUGAAGCAAUCAAGCUCUUUGAUUUAUAAAAGACAUCCAGUCUCUGAUAGAACAGGCAG
rnacentral:lncRNA from 1 species